UUACGGCCAUAUCACGAUGAAACACCGGUUCCUCUUACGAUCACCGCAGUUAAGCAACGUCGAUCCUGGUCAGUUCAUAGAUGGGUGACGCCUUGGGAAUAAAAGGUGCUGGAAG